UACUAUAUACUAUAUCCCUCUUGGACAUAUAUAUGUCAAAUUUCAUCUGUAUAUUUAUGAAAUCUUGAUUUCACAACUCACAAAUUCCAGAUACAUCUGAUUCUCGUCAAGCUUCAAUUUUUAUUUGAUUUUGUCGGAAUUUUUCGUCCUUCAAUUUCACCGGUGGUAGAAUUCUUCUGGAUUUUGCUUUUACCUGGUUUCGCUCUUUUGGGAUUGUAAGUACAAUUUGAAAAAUUGUGCAUGUUGAUUGGAUUGUGUUUCGGUAUCUGAUUGAUUCGUUGAAGUGGUGAGUUUUUGGAGCAG
rnacentral:misc_RNA from 1 species